GAAGGCCUGGCCUUCUUUGAGUCAGAAGGAAACGAGGAAAAUAGAUCCCCACCCCUUUUUAGUCCCGACGACCGAGGGGAGACCUCCGGCGACGCAACAGCGAACGAUUCAGGUGGUGUCAGACGCGCGUGAGGCCUGCGAUUGGUGGUGUAUGCUGUGGCCAUUUGGUGAAGAGUGGCGGCAGACAAAGUAGGGGUUAGGGUUGCUGAAACAUUUUGGGUAGUUGGGCUAUUAGGGUUAGUUUAGAUAAUGGGCUAACAGGAUUUUGAUUUGGGCUUGUUUAAUAAUUGGGUUAUUUGUAAAUUGACUGUUUAUAUUUUUUUGAACUCUUUUUAUUAUUUUGGGUCUAUUAACUUGGGCCAAAAUUGGCCAUUACAAUCAAUAUUUCUUCAGCCAUUGCUUCACAUUGCUGAAAUUGUAUUGGUCGGCGACAUCAUAAAUUAUCUACCAGAUCUUCUCCUUGCAUUCAAUGACAAAAAGGCUGAAGCUCUGUUAACAGCAAA